UACGUAGGGGGCUAGCGUUAUCCGGAUUUACUGGGCGUAAAGGGUGCGUAGGCGGUCUUUCAAGUCAGGAGUGAAAGGCUACGGCUCAACCGUAGUAAGCCUUUGAAACUGGGAAACUUGAGUGCAGGAGAGGAGAGUGGAAUUCCUAGUGUAGCGGUGAAAUGCGUAGAUAUUAGGAGGAACACCAGUUGCGAAGGCGGCUCUCUGGACUGUAACUGACACUGAGGCACGAAAGCGUGGGGAGCAAACAGGAUUAGAUACCCGCGUAGUCCCUGA
rnacentral:rRNA from 1 species